ensembl:snoRNA SNORA71 Small nucleolar RNA SNORA71
CCCUGCAUUCGUAAGUGAUCAUGGGGUGUUCAUGUCAUGGUCUUUGGUAGUGCAGGCAGAGGAAAUGUGGAAAGAACUGUCCUGUGUUUGGAAGGUCUUACCCUGGCCUUCUGCUUCUGGCAGCUUUCCCACA